UUAGGACGUUCCAUACUUAUAUAUGUACAUGUGAUAUCGUAAAAAUUCGAACACCUUUAAACAUGCGAUAUAUAAUUCUCUUAACCCGAAAUCUAUUUCUAAUGACCGUAAUAACAAUUCUGUUUCGUACACAUAUAUAUUUAAAAAAACACACACUUCAAAAACUAUGAAUAAAAAUUAUUUUUCGAAUAAAAGAAAAGAUUUCUCUCUCUCAACAUCUCUCGCGAAGUUCAUGAUCGACUAAAUAACGAUCGACGUUCUCGUCUGUAAAUAGUUAAGAAACAUAAUAAUAGUCAUGUGAUCUAAACGAUAAACCAUACCAAUGAUUGACGCAGCUAACAAUGACUCCCACGCAACGGCCCUAUCGCUUUUACAAGGUCAUGGACGUACGCCUACAAUUUCAUUAGAAAAAAGAAAAAAAUCAGAUCUCCAAAAACAAACUAAAUGCAUAUCCACACAUAUCAUACCGAAAAUAUGUAAACAAUAAAGAAAAACUUAUGAUAAUAAAAUAUAUCGAACUCGUAAA
rnacentral:lncRNA from 1 species